rnacentral:rRNA from 1 species
CACGUAGGGCGCAAGCGUUGUCCGGAAUUAUUGGGCGUAAAGAGCUCGUAGGCAGUCUGUUGCGUCCGCUGUGAAAACUCGGGGCUCAACCCCGAGCCUGCAGUCGAUACGGGCAGACUAGAGUGCGGUAGGGGAGACUGGAAUUCCUGGUGUAGCGGUGAAAAUGCGUAGAUAUCGAGAGGAACACCUGCGGCGAAGGCGGGUUGCUGGGCCGACACUGACGUGGAGGCGCGAAAAGCCCAGGGG